UCUCGAGUGGUCUAGUGGUUAGGACUCAGCGCUUUCAGCACUGUGGCCUGGGUUCAAUUCCUGGCCUGGGAA
rnacentral:tRNA from 1 species